UUUAGAUCUCAGUCACCGGCGAUCUAAUGGUGCGGCGGCUGAGUGUACAGGGUCGCACACGGUACACGUGCAGAGUGACCAGCUCGCGGUUCUCUGCCCUCAGUGACACUGUAGUAACUGAAAUGGUGACUAUGUAAUGACUAUCGACUCGCACUUCAAGAUGACGGUGAAGACCCACUUCGAAGCUGACCUCUCCGGAUUACUCCCUUGAAUUAUGACUGAUGAUGUACCUCCACUCAUAACUUUAGCAGAUUAGUUAUGGGGCUGAAUUUGCCCUAGAAGUCCAAGGUUCUUAGAGAGAAAGCAUUAGAGGAAUGCUUGAAUUCCCUUGUCCUUUAUUUGCCUCAAUAAUUAGCGAGAGGAACUCAGGUAAUGAACAGUUUUUUUCAUGUCGUUUAUCAUCCCAGGCUCUUACAAUGCAAAUGUUUUCUGUUACGAAUUGAUAGGAAUAUUUAGUACACGGAAUCGCCAUGCUAAUGUUUUCUGCAAUCAUUAAAUGUUUCUUCAGGUAUUCCCUGAAGCAGAAGCGUGCUUAUGCCUCAUGGUGUGCAGUAACAGACAAUUGUGACUAACAGGCAGUUCAUAAAAUAUAUUUAGUUCAUAUACAGAAAAGCGACUAUGAUCUUGUUUUAUGUAAUACAUCUUUUAGUAAGGUAACAGAAUCUGCUUAGGUUAGGUAGUACUGCUUAUUUUGGCAAUAUUCCUGUGGUCAUGCUGUUGUUUAGAUUUCUUGCAGAUUUGUUAUAUUUCUUCUCCAUUUCACUGUUGCAUUAACCCGUCCUUUGCAUCGCAUGCAGUGAUUCCCAGAUUUACAUCGUGACUGCAGUAUAGUAUAUUGCUGAUACAAGUUCCUAUUUUUUCCUAUUUAUGUUACAAAACCGCAGAUGAAUUGUAAUGAGCAUGGAGCUAACAGUAAUAUUGAGUUUAUUAUUCAUUUCCAUUAUAAUAACAUCAAAUAAAGUUAUAAAGCUAUA